UUUCAAGAUUCUAAGAGCAAACGGUGGAUGCCUUGGCAUCUGGAGCCGAAGAAGGACGUAUAAAUCUGCGAUAAGCCUCGGGGAGCUGAUAAUAGAGCUUUGAUCCGAGGAUCUCCGAAUGGGGAAACCCCGCCAGGCCCUUUGGGUGACCUGGUGACUCCCGCCUGAAUAUAUAGGG
rnacentral:rRNA from 1 species